GGUUAAUCCUAUCUGGACCUGGCAUCCAGACCACUUCAUUAAGCUGAAGUGGUCUGGGUGCCUAUAGUGGUCCUUUAACAUCAAGGCUGUAUGCUCCAACUGAAUAGUGUCAAUUUUACUUUUCACUUUAGAAAUCAUUGCAACAAGAGAGGGAGGAGGACCAAAUGUGUUCACCUGAUUUAGCUUAUAUAUUUCCUUUUCUAGUUCCCUUAAGUUUUUGGAUCAAAU